AUACGGAGGAUGCGAGCGUUAUCCGGAUUUAUUGGGUUUAAAGGGAGCGUAGGUGGGAUAUUAAGUCAGCUGUGAAAGUUUGGGGCUCCACCUUAAAAUUGCAGUUGAUACUGGUUUCCUUGAGUACGGUAUAGGUGGGCGGAAUUCGUGGUGUAGCGGUGAAAUGCUUAGAUAUCACGAAGAACUCCGAUCGCGAAGGCAGCUCACCGGGCCGGAACUGACACUGAUGCUCGAAAGUGCGGGUAUCAAACAGGAUUAGAUACCCUGGUAGUCCGCACAGUAAACGAUGAAUACUCGCUGUUUGCGAUACACUGUAAGCGGCCAAGCGAAAGCGUUAAGUAUUCCACCUGGGGAGUACGCCGGCAACGGUGAAACUCAAAGGAAUUGACGGGG
rnacentral:rRNA from 1 species